GGAGAGAUGGCCGAGUGGUUGAAGGCGCCGGUCUCGAAAACCGGUAUGGGGUAAUAACUUCAUCGAGGGUUCGAAUCCCUCUCUCUCCGCCA
rnacentral:tRNA from 1 species